GACGAACGCUGGCGGCGUGCCUAAUACAUGCAAGUCGAACGCUUCUUUUUCACCGAACUUCGGUUCAUCGAAAAAGAGGAGUGGCGAACGGGUGAGUAACACGUGGGUAACCUGCCCAUCAGAAGGGGAUAACACUUGGAAACAGGUGCUAAUACCGUAUAAUGCUUUUUCUCGCAUGAGAGCAAGCUGAAAGGCGCUUUUGCGUCACUGAUGGAUGGACCCGCGGUGCAUUAGCUAGUUGGUGAGGUAACGGCUCACCAAGGCCACGAUGCAUAGCCGACCUGAGAGGGUGAUCGGCCACACUGGGACUGAGACACGGCCCAGACUCCUACGGGAGGCAGCAGUAGGGAAUCUUCGGCAAUGGACGAAAGUCUGACCGAGCAACGCCGCGUGAGUGAAGAAGGUUUUCGGAUCGUAAAACUCUGUUGUUAGAGAAGAACAAGGAUGAGAGUAAAAUGUUCAUCCCUUGACGUAUCUAACCAGAAGCCACGC
rnacentral:rRNA from 1 species